CCUUUACUCCCAAGUCACAAUGCUGAUGUAUUUUUUGACAUCUUCGUAAUUGGGUGCUGAUAUUUCUGCUCUACAACUGCAAACCACCAAUUCCGUUACCGAUGUUUAUUCCUCAUUAGAUUUUAUUAGUGCCAUACAUUAUCAAAACUUCAACCUUUAAUUUUAUUAUCCAUAACUUCAUUUAGUACUUCAGUUUUGAAUUUUUUGACUCACAGUAGACACAAAAACAAACGCUGCAACCAUGGCUUCUACCUUGUGUUACAACUCUCUUAACCCCUCAACAACAGCUUUCUCAAGAACCCAUUUCUCAGUUCCCGUGAACAAAGAGCUUCCACUGGAUACUCACACUUCACCUCUUCUGAGCUAUAACUGUCGCUUGGGAAGCAGAACAACGAAGCAGAGGAAGAGUGUGAUGCAUGUUAAAGCUGCAGUGGCAGAGGCUGAAACGAAAAAUGUGAGUGGGACCCCUCAGAAGAAGAAGCUUCGGGUGCUUGUGGCGGGUGGUGGGAUUGGAGGGUUGGUUUUUGCUUUGGCUGCAAAGAGAAAGGGGUUCGAGGUAAUGGUGUUUGAGAAGGACGUGAGUGCUAUAAGAGGGGAGGGACAGUAUAGGGGUCCCAUUCAGAUACAAAGCAAUGCGUUGGCUGCUUUGGAAGCUAUAGAUUCUGAGGUUGCUGAGGAAGUUAUGAGAGUAGGCUGUAUCACGGGUGAUAGAAUCAAUGGCCUUGUAGAUGGGGUUUCUGGUUCUUGGUAUGUCAAGUUUGAUACAUUCACUCCUGCAGUGGAACGUGGGCUUCCAGUCACAAGAGUUAUUAGUCGAAUGGUUUUACAAGAGAUCCUUGCUCGUGCAGUGGGGGAAGAUGUAAUUAUGAAUGCCAGUAAUGUUGUUAAUUUUGUAGAUGAUGGAAACAAGGUAACAGUAGAGCUUGAGAAUGGUCAGAAGUAUGAAGGAGAUCUCUUGGUUGGAGCAGAUGGUGAGGAAACAGUUAUUUGGGCCAAAAGAAGCUGUUUACUCUGGGUAUACUUGUUACACUGGUAUUGCAGAUUUUGUGCCUGCUGACAUUGAAUCUGUUGGGUACCGAGUAUUCUUGGGACACAAACAGUACUUUGUAUCUUCAGAUGUUGGUGCUGGAAAGAUGCAGUGGUAUGCAUUUCACAAAGAAUCUCCUGGUGGUGUUGAUGUUCCCAAUGGAAAAAAGGAAAGGUUGCUUAAAAUAUUUGAGGGCUGGUGUGAUAAUGCAGUAGACCUGAUAAUUGCCACUGAAGAAGAGGCAAUUCUGCGGCGAGACAUAUACGACAGGAUACCCACAUUGACAUGGGGAAGGGGUCGUGUUACUUUGCUUGGUGAUUCUGUCCAUGCUAUGCAGCCAAAUAUGGGACAAGGAGGAUGCAUGGCUAUUGAGGACAGUUAUCAACUUGCAUGGGAGUUGGACAAUGCAUGGGAACAAAGUGUUAAAUCAGGGUAUCCGAUUGACAUUGAGUCUUCCCUAAGGAGGUAAUAUACCAUUUUCUCUUCAAAUAUGCGAAACACUGAAAUAAUGAUUUUAUUGACUUGAUUUGAACAGAGAGAUGUUUCCAUAUAUCAACCUUGGUCCAAUAGUUAAUCCUUCAUCAUUUUCAAAUUGGUUGAUUUGAUAAUAAAUCUCUUUGGUGAUCAUUGGUGCCUCUCUAUUAUUUCCCUUUUCCAUUAAUGCUUCCAGCUAUGAGAGAGAAAGAAGACUACGAGUUGCUAUUAUUCAUGGAAUGGCUAGAAUGGCAGCUCUUAUGGCUUCCACUUACAAGGCUUAUCUGGGUGUUGGUCUUGGUCCUUUAGAGUUCUUGACUAAGUUUCGUAUACCACAUCCUGGAAGAGUUGGAGGAAGGUUUUUCGUUGACAUGAUGAUGCCUGUUAUGUUGAGCUGGGUCUUAGGUGGCAAUAGCUCCAAACUUGAGGGUAGACCACUAAGUUGCAGACUCUCAGACAAAGUACGUUGCUCAAAUAAAGUUACUUUUGUACUUUGUUGCUGAGAAGAUAUUGUAUCUGGUAAUUUAUAUGUUCAUAUCUAUUAGAUUUAUAGUGAUCUGAAUGCUAAUAGGCAUUUGAUUAUUCAUGAAGGCAAAUGAUCAGUUACGAAAAUGGUUUGAAGAUGAUGAAGCACUUGAACGUGCUAUUAAUGGAGAGUAUGUCUGUGACCAAAUAUGUAUGAGUAUCAUCUUUUACAUAUUUCUUACCGAAUACUUAGAUCACAUAACUUCUAUUCCUGUCCUUCUUGUUUGAAAUAUAGGUGGGUUUUAUUACCACAUGGAGAUGAGACAUGUCAUUCAAAGCCUAUCUCUUUAAGUCAAAAUGAGAUGAAGCCCUUCAUAAUCGGGAGUGCACUGCAAGAAGAUUAUCCAAGCAGUUCAGUUACAAUACCUUCAUCCCAGGUUUCUCCGAAGCAUGCUCGAAUUAACUAUAAGGAUGGUGCCUACUUCGUGACUGAUUUGCGGAGUCAACAUGGCACUUGGAUCAUUGACAAUGAAGGAAAGCGAUACCGUGUUCCUCCUAAUUAUCCUGCUCGUAUCCGCCCAUCUGAUGUUAUUCAGUUUGGUUCUGAGAAGGUUUCAUUUCGUGUUAAAGUGAUAAGAUCAGUUCCAAGUGUCUCAGAGAAGGAAGGGACACAAAUUCUACAGGCAGUGUGACUGAUUGAUUGUAUUCAGUUACAAUUGUAAGUAGUAGAAAAAUUAUACAGCAUAAAAUAUGAAUAUGUAGAGAACUAUCUCCAUUCUUUUAGCGUGGGGUAUUAUACAAAGGUCCAGUCAGUUAGGAUGCGAUCAUGUCACAUGCCCAUACUUGUAAGAGGGAUUCUUGAUUAGAAAUUGCUUACCACAGGCUCUCCAUUCAACACUCUCUGUGUAAUGGCAUUUGUUAGUUUGAUACAAAUACUUCAUAGCAUAACUCUCAUAAACUUACACAUGCUUAAUGAAUGGAUUAGGCAAAUGCCUAGCUGGGACUUUAAUUGUGAUUUACCGAAUGCAAUAUAAUUGUAUACUUGUCAAUAUAAUAAGAGGAAGUUCAAUAGU